rnacentral:sRNA from 1 species
UAACAGAUCUUAGGUGGUGGUUUUAGUU